rnacentral:rRNA from 1 species
CACAUGCUGUGAGCUCGAUGAGUAGGGCGGGACACGUGGUAUCCUGUCUGAAUAUGGGGGGACCAUCCUCCAAGGCUAAAUACUCCUGACUGACCGAUAGUGAACCAGUACCGUGAGGGAAAGGCGAAAAGAACCCCGGCGAGGGGAGUGAAAAAGAACCUGAAACCGUGUACGUACAAGCAGUGGGAGCACGCUUAGGCGUGUGACUGCGUACCUUUUGUAUAAUGGGUCAGCGACUUAUAUUCUGUAGCAAGGUUAACCGAAUAGGGGAGCCGAAGGGAAACCGAGUCUUAACUGGGCGUUAAGUUGCAGGGUAUAGACCCGAAACCCGGUGAUCUAGCCAUGGGCAGGUUGAAGGUUGGGUAACACUAACUGGAGGACCGAACCGACUAAUGUUGAAAAAUUAGCGGAUGACUUGUGGCUGGGGGUGAAAGGCCAAUCAAACCGGGAGAUAGCUGGUUCUCCCCGAAAGCUAUUUAGGUAGCGCCUCGUGAAUUCAUCUCCGGGGGUAGAGCACUGUUUCGGCAAGGGGGUCAUCCCGA